rnacentral:rRNA from 1 species
CGGGACGGGUGGGUAAUGUCUGGGAAACUGCCUGAUGGAGGGGGAUAACUACUGGAAACGGUAGCUAAUACCGCAUAACGUCGCAAGACCAAAGAGGGGACCUUCGGGCCUCUUGCCAUCGGAUGUGCCCAGAUGGGAUUAGCUAGUAGGUGGGGUAACGGCUCACCUAGGCGACGAUCCCUAGCUGGUCUGAGAGGAUGACCAGCCACACUGGAACUGAGACACGGUCCAG